AGUAAGAUAAGCUAACUAAGCUCUUGGGCCCAUGCCCCAAACAUGCAGGUGAAAACCCUGCUUUUACUA
rnacentral:tRNA from 1 species